GACGAACGCUGGCGGCGUGCUUAACACAUGCAAGUCGAACGAUGAAACCUAGCUUGCUAGGUCGAUUAGUGGCGAACGGGGGAGUAACACGUGACUAACCCGCCCCUUUCUCCGGGAUAACGCUCCGAAAGGAGUGCUAAUACCGGAUACUCACACCUAGGCACAUGCCAUGGUGUGGAAAGUUCUUCGGAAAGGGAUGGAGUCGCGGCCUAUCAGCUUGUUGGUGAGGUAACGGCUCACCAAGGGGACGACGGGUAGCCGGCCUAAGAGGGCGACCGGCCACACUGGGACUGAGACACGGCCCAGACUCCUACGGGAGGCAGCAGUGGGGAAUAUUGCACAAUGGGCGCAAGCAUGAUGCAGCGACGCCGCGUGAGGGAUGAAGGUCUUCGGAUUGUAAACCUCUUUCAGUAGGGACGAAGCGAAAGUGACGGUACCUGCAGAAAAAGCACCGGCUAACUACGUGCCAGCAGCCGCCGUAA
rnacentral:rRNA from 1 species